rnacentral:rRNA from 1 species
GACGAACGCUGGCGGCGUGCUUAACACAUGCAAGUCGAGCGGUAAGGCCCUUUCGGGGGUACACGAGCGGCGAACGGGUGAGUAACACGUGGGUGACCUGCCCUUAGCUCUGGGAUAAGCCUGGGAAACUGGGUCUAAUACCGGAUAUGACUCCAUGACGCAUGUUGUGGGGUGGAAAGCCUUGUGCGGCUGAGGAUGGGCCCGCGGCCUAUCAGCUUGUUGGUGGGGUGAUGGCCACCAAGGCGACGACGGGUAGCCGGCCUGAGAGGGCGACCGGCCACACUGGGACUGAGAUACGGCCCAGACUCCUGCGGGAGGCAGCAGUGGGGAAUCUUGCGCAAUGGGCGAAAGCCUGACGCAGCGACGCCGCGUGGAGGAUGAAGAUCUUCGGGUCGUAAACUCCUUUCGAUCGAGACGAAUUU